ensembl:miRNA Mir181b microRNA mir-181b
AGGUCACAAUCAACAUUCAUUGCUGUCGGUGGGUUGAACUGUGUAGAAAAGCUCACUGAACAAUGAAUGCAACUGUGGCC